AUCAAAGUCAACCCACAAUAAUAUGACAGAAUCAACAUCACAUAUAGUAUCCCUUGUUUUAUUAGCUUCGUUAGUCGCCUGUGCAUUUCUUUUGUUCGCUUUUUACUUCUACAGGUCACAAAGUCGCGCACAGAGCGACUACAAGUGUAACACUCACAAUUAAUUACCCUUCAAAGUAACCUCAUUAAAAGUAACUAAACAAAUUAAGAAAAAUUAAUAAGGAAGUUUAGAUAACGACGUUGUAAAAGUACAUAAUCGGAUCGCAUUGACGAUUAAACAAAACGAUUGCGAAACGGCACCGUGACAACAGUUAAACAAUCAAAAUUUUCUGUGUCAGGAAGGAAGCACACCCACUCACGACCCCUGUCAAGAUGGAAGGCAUGGAAGGCGAUCAAUGCGAAGUUUGCGAGAUCUGCAACAAAGAGUACGUACGCGACCCCAAGGAGGAACGCUGCAAAUGUGAAGAUCACCCUAAAGAGGAUUGCAUCAAGAACCGAAGACGCUGUGCAUCCUGUAAAUAGGCGCACACCUUUAACCAGUUGAUUUCAACUACUACGAUGAUGGUACCAAUUUCUAAAUUGUUCGUGUUUGGGGAUAUUAAUUAUACUUAUGGUGACGCCUUUUCUUUUUGGAAUCUACAAAUCAAUUUCGUUCUAAAUGUAAUGAUAUAGUGAAUGAAUAAAAACUUGAAAUAUA